GCCCUCUUAGUUCAGUGGCAGAACAGCGGUAUCGUAAACCGCAUACGUCAGUUCGAUUCUGGCAGAGGGCU
rfam:Candidatus Niyogibacteria bacterium RIFCSPLOWO2_12_FTLL_41_13 rifcsplowo2_12_scaffold_875, whole genome shotgun sequence.